CCCAGCGCUUAAGGUUUUGGUCGUUUCGGCCUAGACCGGUGUAGCGUAUAGAGGCGACUGUCCUUGGUCGAUGCCGAUAUAAGUUCCCCUUGACUGGGGUACCAUAGAAGGUGCAAGUCCUGUUCUGUCGGUGUUGGCUGUGGUUGGUUGUUUCUUGGAGUCGGGUUGCUUGGGAUCGCAGCUCAAAGUUGGUGGUAAACUUCAUCUAAGGCUAAAUACGGCCACGAAACCGAUAGCAAACAAGUACCGUGAGGGAAAGUUGCAAAGUACUUUGAAGAGAGAGUUCAAGAGGACGUGAAAUUGGUAAGAUCGAAACGGAUAGUGCCAACGUAUCUCACCAGUAUUCAGCGUUCAGUCGGCGCACAGCGUUGUGUUGUCGUUCUCGAUGAGACGAUGCAUGGUGUUGAGGUGCAGGCUGGGCGUGCAUUUGCUGGUUUGGUGCGCUGAGAGGUACGAUCUUUGGCAUUGGUGAAACGCGUUUAGAGGACCUUGUCUUCGGACUCGGAACCCUGGAUUGUUGUCUAACCUUAGCUGGUUGUGCUUAUCAUUACGUCCUGGCCUACGCUAUGGCGCGUUUUUCGGAAAUUACCUAGGUGAAACGCGUGCGUUUUUGCCUUCGUUGGUGACCGAUUGAGCGUGUCGUAGCUCAGAGACGUUGUCUCGGCGUAAAAGUUGGUCUACUAACCGACCCGUCUUGAAACACGGACCAAGGAGUUUAGCGUAUGUGCGAGUCAUUGGGUGUUAAACCUAAAGGCGUAAUGAAAGUAAAGGAACGAAAGUCCUGAUAUGCGAUCUUAGCGGUUUCGGCCGUUGUGAGCAGCAUAGCCCCGUCUCAAUUGCUUGCAAUGGGGCGGAGGUAGAGCAUAUGCGCUGAGACCCGAAAGAUGGUGAACUAUGCCUGUGCAGGAUGAAGCCAGAGGAAACUCUGGUGGAAGUCCGAAGCGGUUCUGACGUGCAAAUCGAUCGUCUG
rnacentral:rRNA from 1 species